AUAAAGGGAUCCAAACCCAGUUUUCCUUUGACCUUUUGGGAGCUCGCAGUGGCUUCAACGAUGGUGUUUGGGAUCGUUUUGGGGCUUGUAGGCGUUUAUUUAACCAUGCCCGCUUCUGAUUACAGCUUCCUCAAAUUACCCAGGAACCUUGAAGAUCUUCAGAUCCUGAGGUGCGUCCUUUUGGAUUCUGUCUCUAAUUCGUUGUUUUGAGAUUGCAUGCAGUCUACCUAGUCAAUUUUCAUGUCCAUAUUAUCUUUGAUUCUUAUAUGUUUUAUUUCCUCUGUAAUUUUAACAAGUUACGGGAUCGGUCUUGCUUGAAGUCAGCGGAGCUUGUUUUUGCUCUUGUUAUAAUGAAUUUGUGGCAAUAAUGAGCGGGUUUAUUUGGUGGAAAAGAAAGAUGUUGUCAUUUUGGACUAAUUGCGUACUUUGUCUGCUUAUCAAUACAAAUGAGAUCAUGUUUAAGAGUUGUUUAGAAAAUGAUCCCCAUUUUAUUCUCCAAAAAAAGAUAAGCCCUGAGAUCUAAAGAAGCUAGGAAGGUGAGGAUUGAUACACUAAUGACUGAAUUAUAUAGAAGGGCAUGGUUGAGACAUUGAAAAAGGAUUGUGCUUUGUUACAUUGGCAAGAAUUGUUCAAAAUAUAACAUUUGUUGUCGAGUCCUUAGUAACUAGGAAUGACCUAGAAUGGAAAUAUUUAUUAUAGUCUAAAAGAAUCAGAUUAGAUGUUGCUUUGAUUGCCCCUGAGAUGCCUGUGUACAGUAUGGAACUGUAAUUGGUGAUUCUGAUCAAGUUAGAUACAAAUUUUGCGGGGACAACUUGUAUGCCUCGUCUCCCCUUCUCUUUAGUUCUAGAAAAAGGUUUUAGAUGUUCCUUUUAGCAUAUAUUAUAUUUCCUGUUGGCGAAAAGUGCGUCUGUUUGAAGGAGACGGACAAUGAACUAGCAUGCAGUGAUCCGUUAUCAAAUAAGUUUCCUUAUCAUUCUUUGACUUGAUAAUAUCUGUGUUACAUCUAAUUCGAGCCUCCGAGGUGGCUUUCGCUUUCCUUUGCUUUAUAUUGAUUGUUUUCUGUAUGGUUUAUCAUGCAGAGAUAACCUUGAAUCCUACACAAGUGACUACACUGUACAAGUGUUGGUGGGGUAUUGUGCAGUCUAUAUUUUCAUGCAAACUUUCAUGAU
rnacentral:lncRNA from 1 species